GAUGAAGAACGCAGCGAAAUGCGAUAAGUAAUGUGAAUUGCAGAAUUCAGUGAAUCAUCGAAUCUUUGAACGCACAUUGCGCCCGCCAGUAUUCUGGCGGGCAUGCCUGUCUGAGCGUCAUUUCAACCCUCAUGCCCCUAGGGCGUGGUGUUGGGGAUCGGCCAAAGCCCGCGAGGGACGGCCGGCCCCUAAAUCUAGUGGCGGACCCGUCGUGGCCUCCUCUGCGAAGUAGUGAUAUUCCGCAUCGGAGAGCGAUGAGCCCCUGCCGUUAAACCCCCAACUUUCCAAGGUUGACCUCAGAUCAGGUAGGAAUACCCGCUGAACUUAAGCAUAUCAAUACGGAGGA
rnacentral:misc_RNA from 1 species